UACGUAGGGGGCAAGCGUUGUCCGGAUUUAUUGGGCGUAAAGAGCGUGUAGGCGGCCAGGUAGGUCUGCUGUGAAAACUCGAGGCUUAACCUCGAGCUGUCGGCGGAAACCAUCUGGCUAGAGUCCGGAAGAGGAGAAUGGAAUUCAUGGUGUAGCAGUGAAAUGCGUAGAGAUCAUGAGGAAGACCAGUGGCGAAGGCGGGUCUCUGGACAGUUCCUGACACUGAGACACGAAGGCCAGGGGAGCAAACGGG
rnacentral:rRNA from 1 species